AGAAAAGUAGGUGCCGCCCCGCACAGGGGCAACGCUAAUAGACCGACACCAAAUCAAGGAAAUGCCAAGCACCCAAAACACGUCAAAAAAACCGCAAGGAUCCAAUC
rnacentral:sRNA from 2 species